rnacentral:rRNA from 1 species
CCUUUAGGUUCGGAAUAACUCAGGGAAACUUGUGCUAAUACCGAAUGUGCCCUUCGGGGGAAAGAUUUAUCGCCUUUAGAGCGGCCCGCGUCUGAUUAGCUAGUUGGUGAGGUAAAGGCUCACCAAGGCGACGAUCAGUAGCUGGUCUGAGAGGAUGAUCAGCCACAUUGGGACUGAGACACGGCCCAAACUCCUACGGGAGGCAGCAGUGGGGAAUCUUGCGCAAUGGGCGAAAGCCUGACGCAGCCAUGCCGCGUGAAUGAUGAAGGUCUUAGGAUUGUAAAAUUCUUUCACCGGGGACGAUAAUGACGGUACCCGGAGAAGAAGCCCCGGCUAACUUCGUGCCAGCAGCCGCGGUAAUACGAAGGGGGCUAGCGUUGCUCGGAAUUACUGGGCGUAAAGGGAGCGUAGGCGGACAUUUAAGUCAGGGGUGAAAUCCCGGGGCUCAACCUCGGAAUUGCCUUUGAUACUGGGUGUCUUGAGUAUGAGAGAGGUGUGUGGAACUCCGAGUGUAGAGGUGAAAUUCGUAGAUAUUCGGAAGAACACCAGUGGCGAAGGCGACACACUGGCUCAUUACUGACGCUGAGGCUCGAAA